AGCCUGGCCCUCCUUCCUCUCCCCUUUAGGUCUUGCUGAUUUCUGUCCUCCAGGUCUUCUCAGUAGAAUGAGGAUAAUCCUGAAUUCAGAACAUAUUUCCUGAGUACGGUGAGUGCCCAGGAGAUGGGGGCUGAGAGCUGGCUCCUGCGCUCCUGAGAGCACAGUUUCCUGGGCAGGAGCAGAGAGAAGGCCCAGAGGAAGAUGGGAGGGAGGCAAGGCAAAGGAUGCUGUGGGGAGAGCCCAGAGCUGGGCCGCAGGCCUGAGACCCCUCUGCUGUCCAGUUACAUCGUGGAGAGGACCAUAACAACUGUGACCUUGUGAAAUUCUUCCCAGUGUGCUAAGUCGGUUUUUUUGUUUGUUUUUGUUUUUGUUUGAGAUGGAGCCACGGCUGGAGUCCAGUGGUGCGAUCUCAGCUCAUUGCAACCUCCACUUCCCGGGUUCAAGUGAUUCUCAUGCCUCAGCCUCCCGAGUAACUGGGAUGACAGGUGCAUGCCACUACACCCGGGUAAUUUUUGUAUUUUUAGUACAGAUGGGGUUUCACCAUGUUGGCCAGGCUGGUCUCGAACUCCUGGCCUCAAGUGAUCCGCCCGCCUCGGCCUCCCAAAGUGCUGGGAUUACAGGCGUGAGCCACUGCACUCGGCCGAGCCUGGUUUUCUACCUAUGCUACCUACUUUCUCCAAGGAUGCCCUGCUCUGGAAAUCUUCAAGGGAAUGCCUUUUACCUUAAAGUAGCUCCCCUUCCUCCCUGUCAGGCAUCUUUGCAUAACUCUGAAGAGUUUUGAAGAUGCAAAGUCCUUCCUCUCUGCCCAUUCAGGGAAGCUUCUGGCCGCCCUCGGGGUGAGUGGGCAGUGGCGGGUGGAAGUUCCUCAACUUCAUUACAGCUGUGAGGCCUCGGAUCGGCUCUCACCACUCUGGGCAUCCUUUUUUGUAAAAUGGAGCCAGUAAUUUCCACUCUCCUGGUUAUUGUAGGCUGGCAAUGAGGGCAUCCGCGGAUGGCACCUGGCCCACUCAUCAAAUGGCAGCUACCCUCUCUCGUGAUGAUUGUCAGCAUCUAGUGUGAAAGAUGGGAAGAGCCUACAUCAAUUCUUUUUUUUUUUUUUCUUUAAGAGAUGUAAUUGCCCAGGCUGGUCUUGAACUCCUAGACUCAAGCCAUCUGCCUGCCUCAGCCUCCUAAAAUGCUGGGAUUACAGGUGUGUGCCCCCAAGCCCAGCCUGCACUGGAUUCUCAUUCUGAUGUUACAAGGUGGAUGGGGCCAUGAUAGAGGUUUGAGCCAGCAGGGAGGGUGUGGCACGAGGCCUGAUGGCUUCUUGGAGGAGGAGGUGUUUGAACUAGGCCAUCGGAGACAGAACAGAUUCACUGGGAAAGUAGCUGUGUGUGCCAGGUGCACCAGCCGGGCUGCCAAGUGCUGAUUUGUAGAAAUUCUCUGGGGGGUUCUCUGAGUGAGGAAGAAGGAUCCAUGGGGCCUGGGCAAGGCUAGAAGUGAUAGCCUGGGAAACAGUCUCAGGAGUACAGUUUCUUCCUUUUUCUCUUACUUGUUGAAGCCUAAUUUACAUAUUAUCAAAUGCACCAGUCGCAAUGAGUUUUAAAAAUGUUUUGGCAGCUUUAUGUAAGUAUAACUGACAGAUAACCCACACUCAUUCAAAAUGUACAAUUUGACCAGGCACGGCAGCUCAUGCCUGUAAUCCCAAUACUUUAGGAGGCCGAGACAGGUGGAUCACCUGAGGUCGGGAGUUUGAGACCAGCCUGGCCAAUAUGGUGAAACCCCGUCUUUACUAAAAAUACAAAAAUUAGCCAGGCGUGGUGGCACAUGCCUGUAAUCCCAGCUACUCAGGAGGCUGAGGCAGGAGAAUCACUUGAACCCGGGAGGCAGAGGUUGCAGUGAGCAGAGAUUGCACCAUUGCACUCCAACCUGGGCGACAAGAGUGAAAUUCCGUCUCAAAAAAAAAGUAAAAUUUGAUGAUUUGGGGCAGAUGUGUCCAUCCAUAGAACCAUCGCCACAGUCAAGAUAAUGAAUAUAUGUAUCACCCCCAAAGUUUCCUCUCUCCCCAUGUAAUCCGUCCCUCCCUCUCUCCCUGUGUAAUCCCUCCCUCCCUCUCUCCCCAUGUAAUCCUUCCCUUCCUCUCGUUCCAUGUAAUCCCUCCCUCCCUCUCAUCCCAUGUAAUCCCUCCCUCCCUCUCUCCCCAUGUAAUCCCUCCCUCCCUCUCUCCCCAUGUAAUCCUUCCCUCCUUCUCUCCCUAUGUAAUCCCUCCCUCCCUCCCCAUGCAAUCCCUCCCACCCUCUCAUCCCAUGUAAUCCCUCCCUCCCUCUCUCCCCAUGUAAUCCCUCCCUCCCUCUCUCCCCAUGUAAUCCCUCCCUCCCUCUCAUCCCAUGUAAUCCCUCUCUCCCUCCCUCAGGCAACCACUAUGCUGAUUUCCAUCACUAUAGAUUAGCUGCUAUUUUCUAGAAUUUUAUAGAAAUUGAAUAAUAUAGUAUUACUCUUUUUUAUCUAGCUUUUUAAAAAAAACUCAUCAUUAUGGCAGGGCACAGUGGCUCAUGCCUGUAAUCCCAGCACUUUGGGAGGCCAAGGCUGGCAGAUCACUUGAGUUCAGGAGCUCAAGAUCAGCCUGGCCAACAUGGCGAAACCCCAUCUCUACUAAAAAUACAAAAAUUAGCUGGGUGUGGUGAUGUGCACCUGUAGUCCCAGCUACUCCAGAGGCAGGAGAAUUGCUUGAAUCCAGGAGGCGGAGGUUGCAAUGAGCGGAGAUAGUGCCACUGCACUCCAGCCUGGGCGACAGAGCAAGAUGCUGUUUCAAAAACAAAAACAAAACAAAACAAACCAACAAAAAACAGAAAAAGUCAAAUAAAACACUUGUGAGCA